rnacentral:rRNA from 1 species
AUAACUGUUGGAAACGAUAGCUAAGACCGCAUAGGUGUGAUAACCGCAUGGAGGUGACAUGAAAUAUGCUACGGCAUAGGUAGAGGAUGGACUUAUGGCGCAUUAGCUAGUUGGAGGGGUAACGGCCCACCAAGGCGACGAUGCGUAGCCGACCUGAGAGGGUGACCGGCCACACUGGGACUGAGACACGGCCCAGACUCCUACGGGAGGCAGCAGUAGGGAAUUUUCGGCAAUGGGGGAAACCCUGACCGAGCAACGCCGCGUGAAGGAAGAAGUAAUUCGUUAUGUAAACUUCUGUCAUAGAGGAAGAACGGUGCGUGUAGGGAAUGACAUGCAAGUGACGGUACUCUAUAAGAAAGCCACGGCUAACUACGUGCCAGCAGCCGCGGUAAUACGUAGGUGGCGAGCGUUAUCCGGAAUUAUUGGGCGUAAAGAGGGAGCAGGCGGCACUAAGGGUCUGUGGUGAAAGAUCGAAGCUUAACUUCGGUAAGCCAUGGAAACCGUAGAGCUAGAGUGUGUGAGAGGAUCGUGGAACUCCAUGUGUAGCGGUGAAAUGCGUAGAUAUAUGGAGGAACACCAGUGGCGAAGGCGACGAUCUGGCGCAUAACUGACGCUCAGUCCCGAAAGCGUGGGGAGCAAAUAGGAUUAGAUACCCUAGUAGUCCACGCCGUAAACGAUGAGUACUAAGUGUUGGGAGUCAAAUCUCAGUGCUG